UUUACAUACACAGAUAUUUUAUCAAUCGAUAACUUUUGGUUCACACUUCAAGACAAUAACUUGGGCACAUAGUUUUCAACACCCUAUAUAUGAAAUAGUUGGUCAAUUAGAUUUUGGGUGGUGGAUAAAGAUUUAGGGGAUUAUUUUCAGAUUCUAUGUUUUAAGAAAUUCAUUGAUGUUUAAAUUUUUUGGCCACCAGCCUAACCGAAAAACCACACAAAAAGUCACUAGACCGAACUGUCAUCUUGUUUAUAGCUGCUGCCAGCAACUCUCUCCAGGCACUGCCAUCUCUUCUUUUUCCCACUUCUCCGACAAAGCUCUAACUGAAACGAGUCGUCUUCUUCCCCAUUUUGGCAAACAAAACACCAUUGAAAUAGCCACCACAACCGACUCCUAAACCUGACCCAAACCUCAACCAACAACCACCCAAAAUCGAACAACAACGCACUCCAAAAACCCGAGCAGCAACCACCAAACCAGCCUUAGUUUUUUCAUUUUUGCCCUUUCCAGAUCCACUACAAACCCCAUCCCCCAUCCCCUCUCCCCUUUAAAAUUUCUAUCUCAUUUUCUUUGCAGGUAAAUGAACCAUCAAGCUAUUAGCUCCAAAAAAUUGCAGCGAGCUUUGGGGCUUAUGAAUAGAAAAUAACCAACUCUGGCGAAAUCGAGAUUGAGUGAGCUCUCCGUCAUCCUUUUUUACUAAGAAUGGCGACUUUGCUGGGAUAUAAAGGUUGUAACCAUUGUGGGUUCAUUUUUUAAAUUGUGGAUAUCAUUGUUUUAUUGUAUUAUUCAUUAUAUCUUAUAUAUUUUGUUGAUUAUUUUCAUAUUGUACUCAAUAUUCAUUAAUUUUAUUGUAUAUUGUCAUUACAUCCAUGUUUUGUUUUUCAGCAUUGUAUGUAUAAUAUAUUAAAGUACGGUUUUGCGAAACAUCAGGCCGAAAUUUUUUAUACUCAACCGUUUUUCGGAAUGAUCGACAAUUUAUUGGUCCGUCGUGAGUCGAAUAGUUGUCUUGAGUUCCAGCCUAAGUUAUCCACUUGAGUUCCAAGUCAUUCAAAAUCAUUCUUGGUCAGCUAGUUUUAGAACUUUUAUAAUCUCAGUCCAUUCUCUAUUCGAGUUACAAUCUGUAGGAACUACGUUUGACUUCAUUCCUUGUUCAACGGGAUACAUAGUCGUCAUAAGGGUUCUGUCAUCUUCCCUGUAAGCUUUAAAAAAUUUGAAAAUGGAAACUGGGGAAAUUUUUUUUGAGGAGGUGUCCAAAACUUUUACGAAGGAGAUGAUACAAGAUUAAAUAUCGGAGGAUGUUCAAGCUGAAAUAGGGACAAAAAUUUUGAGGAGUUGCCUCAAAAAUUUCACCAAGUUUGUACACAAACGUCCAGAAUUUAUGAGGCUUCACUCUGAGUUGGUUUGUAUAUUUUGCAUUAAUUUUUGUACAUGAUGUCACAUUCAUUGUAUAUCUUUGAUUUUUAUUAUAUUCCAUUGAAAAUGUUAUAUUAAUUGAUAUUUUAUAAGUUGGGUUUUAUUGCCCUCCGAUGUGACUCAUUCAUUUUUUUUACUUUUGCCAUUUUUUGUUUAAUUAAUAAUCUUUUUGUUUUAUUUUUUUUAAUUUUGGGUAGUCCGCUCUUCAACGUGACUCAUUAAUUUUUUUGUUACUUUUGUUAAAUUUGGGUUGUCCGCCCUUCAAUGUGAAUCACAGAUUUCUUCGUUCUUGUUCAGUUUUCUUUGAUUAAUAAAUUUUUUUUUGUUAAACUUAGGUUGCCCGCCUUUCAAUGUGGCUCAUUGAUUAUUUAUUUUCAUUAUUUUUCCUUUAAAAAAUUUAUUUUUUGUUUAUAGAUUUUAUGUCCUUUCUGGAAGAACUACGCAAAUCUGAUUCUCAUCAAUGAGAAACGAAGGCAGACCUUAUUGAGUUCAGUAUUUUUUAUUCAAAAGAUCUUCUUAUUUUUUAUUCUUUUAAUAUUAUAUUUUUGAAAUUAUUUUUUGCCUUAGUUAAUGUCAAUAUAGUUCAAGUGUGCAUGUGAAAAUCAUUUGUACAAUAAUGAAGAUUGACUUCUUGUUAAACCAUAGAUUCUUUUUUGUACCUCUGAUUCAUACUUUUGUCACACUUGUAAAAUUCUCUUGUAUACAUUCAUGAUUAGAACAAAACCAGAUUAAUUGUUUCAUGUGCAUUGUGUGGUGAUUUUUGAAUUAAAUUCAAUUUUUUUUGUAUUGUUGAUCUUGAUCAACAUUUAGGCAAAUUUCUGAGUAAUUUUUUAUUUGGAAAAUGAUUGUAGGCCUUCUUUGAUCUGUUUGAACCUUUUAAAGCCUACAAUAUGACAUAUACCCUUAUUGUGUCCCACUUUGCGUCUUAAGCCUUUUCUAUGGACAACCACAUCUUAGCCUAGACCCUUUCUAAGUGCUUUUACGCACUAUCUCUCUUUUUGCCUGAUUUUAUAAAGAACACUGAAGACAUGCAAGUUAUAAGAGAAGAUUCAAAGUCCAGUUUUGUCAAAUCCAAAAGUUAUUAAAAUCCCUGAAUGUCAAGAAAAUAAAAUGACUUCAAAAGAAAGAAAAAAAAAGGAAGCGUUCAAAAUUACCCACAAGUUUUUGAAAGCAGAAUUUCAAGAAAAAAAGAUAAACAUUCCAAACAAAAA